rnacentral:rRNA from 1 species
GACGAACGCUGGCGGCGUGCCUAACACAUGCAAGUCGAGCGGAGAAACAAAAGAGCAGCUUGCUGCGAUUUGUUUCUUAGCGGCGGACGGGUGAGUAACGCGUGGGUAAUCUGCCUCAAACAGGGGGAUAACACAGGGAAACUUGUGCUAAUACCGCAUAAGACCCCACCAUGGCAUCAUGGAGAGGUCAAAGGAAGAAAUUCCGGUUUGAGAUGAGCCCGCGUCUGAUUAGCUAGUUGGUGAGGUAACGGCUCACCAAGGCGACGAUCAGUAGCCGAACUGAGAGGUUGAUCGGCCACAUUGGGACUGAGACACGGCCCAGACUCCUACGGGAGGCAGCAGUGGGGAAUAUUGCACAAUGGGGGAAACCCUGAUGCAGCGACGCCGCGUGAAGGAAGAAGGCCCUCGGGUUGUAAACUUCUUUGACCAGGGACGAAGAAAGUGACGGUACCUGGAGAACAAGCCACGGCUAACUACGUGCCAGCAGCCGCGGUAAAAGUACU